rnacentral:lncRNA from 1 species
UUGUAACUUUGUGGGCUCAAAAAGAGAGAGGUCCAAGUCCAAGAUUUUUCUUUUAUUUAUUUAUUUAUUUAUUUUAUUUUAUUUUUUUCAUUUUUUUUCUCAAAACGCAUGGGCUUCGCCUAGCGAGCAUGACAGUUCAAGAAAUUCCUCUGAGCGUAGGUGAUUCUGGUGGCUUUUCUUGGGACUCGCUAGGCGACCCCUUCUGCUCGCCUAGCGAGCAUGACAGCUCAUGAACAAACUUUUGCUCCUUCAAGAUUAACG